rnacentral:rRNA from 1 species
UCAGGUAGUUGGCGGGGUAAAGGCCCACCAAGCCGAAGACGGGUAGCUGGUUUGAGAGAACGACCAGUCACAAGGGAACUGAGACACGGUCCCUACUCCUACGGGAGGCAGCAGCCAAGAAUAUUCCGCAAUGGACGAAAGUCUGACGGAGCGACGCCGCGUGAGGGAAGAAGGCCUUCGGGUUGUAAACCUCUUUUGUUAGGGAAGAAUAAGCGCGUAGGAAAUGACGCGUGAUGACGGUACCUGACGAAUAAGCCCCGGCUAAUUACGUGCCAGCAGCCGCGGUAAUACGUAAGGGGCAAGCGUUGCUCGGAAUUACUGGGCGUAAAGGGCGUGUAGGCGGCCCACCAAGUCGAAUGUAAAAAAUCACUGCUCAACAGUGGAGCUGCGUUCGAAACUGGCGGGCUUGGAUCUGGUGGAGGGUAAUGGAACUCCCGGUGUAGCGGUGAAAUGCGUAGAUAUCGGGAAGAACACCGAAGGCGAAGGCAAUUAUCCAUGCCGAGAUUGACGCUGAGGCGCGAAAGCGUGGGGAGCAAACAGGAUUAGAUACCCUGGUAGUCCACGCCGUAAACGAUGCAUACUAGGAGUUGGCGGGGUGCCGUUAGCUCCGCAGCAAACGCGUUAAGUAUGCCGC